GACGAACGCUGGCGGCGUGCUUAACACAUGCAAGUCGAACGAUGAAGCCGGAGCUUGCUCUGGUGAAUUAGUGGCGAACGGGUGAGUAACACGUGAGUAACCUGCCCUUGACUCUGGGAUAACUGCUAGAAAUGGUAGCUAAUACCGGAUACGACCCUCGGAGGCAUCUCCAGGGGGUGGAAAGAAUUUCGGUCAAGGAUGGACUCGCGGCCUAUCAGCUAGUUGGUGAGGUAAUGGCUCACCAAGGCGACGACGGGUAGCCGGCCUGAGAGGGUGACCGGCCACACUGGGACUGAGACACGGCCCAGACUCCUACGGGAGGCAGCAGUGGGGAAUAUUGCACAAUGGGCGCAAGCCUGAUGCAGCAACGCCGCGUGAGGGAUGACGGCCUUCGGGUUGUAAACCUCUUUUAGUAGGGAAGAAGCGAAAGUGACGGUACCUGCAGAAAAAGCACCGGCUAACUACGUGCCAGCAGCCGCCGCGG
rnacentral:rRNA from 1 species